rnacentral:rRNA from 1 species
ACUCCUGCGGGAGGCAGCAGUGGGGAAUAUUGGACAAUGGGCGCAAGCCUGAUCCAGCCAUGCCGCGUGAGUGAUGAAGGCCCUAGGGUUGUAAAGCUCUUUCACCGGUGAAGAUAAUGACGGUAACCGGAGAAGAAGCCCCGGCUAACUUCGUGCCAGCAGCCGCGGUAAUACGAAGGGGGCUAGCGUUGUUCGGAUUUACUGGGCGUAAAGCGCACGUAGGCGGACUAUUAAGUCAGGGGUGAAAUCCCGGGGCUCAACCCCGGAACUGCCUUUGAUACUGGUAGUCUUGAGUUCGAGAGAGGUGAGUGGAAUUCCGAGUGUAGAGGUGAAAUUCGUAGAUAUUCGGAGGAACACCAGUGGCGAAGGCGGCUCACUGGCUCGAUACUGACGCUGAGGUGCGAAAGCGUGGGGAGCAAACAGGAUUAGAUACCCCAGUAGUCCCAUGAU